rnacentral:lncRNA from 1 species
AGAGGAGAAAAUGGGUCGUACCCACAAUGGGUCAUCCAGAUCAACUAUAUGACAUGGUCAUAUAAUCUCUAAAGACUUUUGAAGUCCUACAGAUCAAGUAAGGCCUAAGAUGAACAAUAUCUAAAUAAUAUACAAAAAUUUAAAAUAAAAAUUAAUAAUCAAUUCAAUUCAAUAAAAUCACUACAAUUAAUUGAUCAACUAGCUCAAUUACAAAAUUUCAGAUAUUCAUCGGUAUCCAAAAAAUAGAGAUAACUAACUAAUAGCUCUGCAGCUC